rnacentral:tRNA from 1 species
CAGAGCGUAGCCAAGAUAGCAAAGCAUCUCCCUUACACCGAGAAGUCAUCCGUGCAAGUCGGAUCGCCCUGA